CUCGUCCUGCACUGGGGUCGUACCCGCGGAUCAGUUGCUGUCGGUAGCAGCAUUACCUGGCCUCCUACCACCUUCUGGAGCAGACAGUUAUUGCCUGAUCGGAGACUGAAAGAGGGAUUCAAGAGAAACGCAGCUGUUUUGGCUUCGCCUCAGUUCUGUUUCACCUAAACACGGGUGUACCGUCGAUCGCCGCUGCAUUGCCGACAGGGUCAGACGCCAAUCUCACUGGCACUCCGCCUCCGGUGAUGUGGAUUGAUGUCCCGGCGUUAGCGUUUUUAAAGAGAUAGUUUGUUUUAAAGACGGACAUUUUAUGGUGGCUCUGUACAAACAGAUCUGAGUGUCUUAAGACCUAUUACUGUGAGGACAAGAUUUAAUCCUUGGGUGCAAUUACCAAGGUGGCGUUGCUUGUACCUGACAAUUAGUACAACUUCCAAUGAAUCAUACGCCAGCUACAUCCAUCUGAAACUCCUG
ensembl:lncRNA